GUGCUGUUUGUUCUUUCUCUGUGCAGAAAUGUCAGCGUCCUGCUCAUUGUUGUUUUUUUUUCUCCCCCCCACCCCCCUCUCUCUUCAGGGUCCUGGAUGGAGGAAGGUCAGCUGACAUGGCAAGGUCGACAAACAAACAAACAAACAGAAGGAAUUAAAAUAGAGAAAAACAGAGCAGAUGAAACGUGGCGCUGGUGUGUUUUUAUCGCUGCGAGGCUGAUGGCAUGUAGCAGCCAUUACUCUCCGUUGUGUCCUCUGCCCCCCAUUGGCUGCGACAACACCGCCUGGCAGGGCUGCCAGUGUCACGUCAUCUCAUGCUUCUGCUUAACUACGCGGACGACAAGGGCCGUUUCACACCAGGACGGGGUUUUUCUGCCUCUUGCUCCUCAGUGGGUGUUGACAAACCUUGCCUUCCUGCUCUCGGGCACGUAUGGAUGCUCGCUCGGAGAACGUGACCUCUGCUAAACGCGCCUAUCUCGCCUGAAUGGAAGAAGAAGAGCAUGAAAAGACCGCGUGAGUAUAUAAAUGCAGCGCGGCGCAGGAGACAGACAGGCUGAAAGGCAGACAGGUGUUAUGUGAAAUUACAGGCUCCCUUCUCUCUGUGUGGUUGUGGAUUUCGCUGCUCUUUCACUUCUCUCUGGCCUCACCUCUCUCAACAUCCAUCUGUAAUCCUCUCAUUUUUUCCUGCCCACUCCUCCACCGCUUUCUCUCUCAGCCCACCUUCUCGCUCUGCGUGCACGCCGUGUGUGUUUGUGUGUGUGUUAGAGGGAUGAUCUUUUGAUGCCCUCGGUGUGUAUGAGUGCUUUGUCUCUCUACUUUCAGCGGUUGGCCAUUGUGUUUGCAGCCGUCAUACUGCUCUCCCACUCACUCCAUCAGAAAGUGGGCCUGUGCAGGGGCCUAAAUGAAUAUUGAUUCUCCCUCCAGUGCUGAAUGCUGCUGGGUAAAGAAGUGUGCUGUACGCAAUGAAGAGAAUGGGCCCCGAUGGGGGGAAGAGGAGGGUGGAUGACGAUUAGGAUGACGGUGAUCAUGAUGGCGAUAAUGAUAAUGGUGAUGAUAAUGACAGCGUUGGUGAUCAGCAAGCAUGAUGGGGAGCCAUCAGUUGAUGCAUGUAUGUGCAUGUCGCUUGUUUGAUGGCGCCGCUCUGCACAUGUAGUCGCAGUGUUGAGGCGGAAAAAUGCGCGCUUGUGUCUACG
rnacentral:lncRNA from 1 species